GGAGGAAAAGAAACCAACAGGGAUUGCCUUAGUAACGGCGAGUGAAGCGGCAAAAGCUCAAAUUUGAAAUCUAGCACUUUCAGUGUUCGAGUUGUAAUUUGAAGAAGGUAUCUUUGGAGUUGGCCCCCGUCUAUGUUCCUUGGAACAGGACGUCACAGAGGGUGAGAAUCCCGUGCGAUGGGGAGUCCAAUUCUUUGUAAAGUUCCUUCGAAGAGUCGAGUUGUUUGGGAAUGCAGCUCUAAGUGGGUGGUAAAUUCCAUCUAAAGCUAAAUAUUGGCGAGAGACCGAUAGCGAACAAGUACAGUGAUGGAAAGAUGAAAAGAACUUUGAAAAGAGAGUGAAAAAGUACGUGAAAUUGUUGAAAGGGAAGGGCUUUUGAUCAGACUUGGUGUUUAGUACUCUCUACUCCUUGUGGGUGGGGCUCUUGCUUCAUACUGGGCCAGCAUCGGUUUGGGUGGUAGGAUAAUGACAUUGGAACGUGGCUCCAUUCGUGGAGUGUUAUAGCCCUCGCUGAUACUACCUAUCUAGACCGAGGACUGCGUCUUUUGACUAGGAUGCUGGCGUAAUGAUUAAAAGCCGCCCGUCUUGAAACACGGACCAAGGAGUCUAACGUCUAUGCGAGUGUUUGGGCGUAAAACCCGUACGCGUAACGAAAGCGAAUGUAGGUGAGGGCCCUUUUUUGGGUGCAUCAUCGGCCGAUCCUGAUGUUUUCAGAUGGAUUUGAGUAAGAGCAUAGCUGUUGGGACCCGAAAGAUGCUGAACUACGCCUGAAUAGGGCGAAGCCAGAGGAAACUCUGGUGGAGGCUCGUAGCGGUUCUGACGUGCAAAUCGAUCGUCGAAU
rnacentral:rRNA from 1 species